ensembl:lncRNA
ACAACUCGCGGAGGAGAUGAAACCGACGGCAGCGACGCUGCUGAUGUUUCUGCUUUUCCAGGAGCCAUUAAUCAGGAUCCAAUAAAAGGCCGAUAAGAACUCAAUGGAUCUCGUCAAUGCUCGUUGGUGUUUCACUCAUCACGUCUGCGUUGAGGUGAGUUGGAGCGCGUGAGUGAGAUGCAGAAAACUGCAACCAUAUGUUUGUUCAUGAAAGGACAUGUUUUUAUGUUAAUAUGUACCUACAGAAAACAUCUGUUAUCCGUCAUUGUGAUAUUAAGCACGUCGAGGGGUCCAGCAGUAAAAGUGCUGCUCAGAGAACUUCCAGAACCUCGGAUGGAUAAAUAGAGCCUCCUCCAGGAGGAAGCAUCAGAACCAGAAGGUGAGGGCCGGUGUGCGUGACGAUACGAGCAGUUCAGUGAAACGCAUCUCACCAGUGAGCGUAAAAACCCUCAAGUCGGAACCGGAACCUCAAGUAACUAAAUAUUAAAACAAUGGUGUGAUCAUGUUUCCAUGGUCGGUGACAUUGGGGGUCCUGUGCCAAUAGAAAGGGAAUUUAAAAAGGGAAAUGUCCUGCGAGCAAAACCAGGACUAGACUGGAGACUUAAAUCAAAGCAAUGUGACAAAGUUAAUUUGCACACAAGAGGAUUCUGUCCUGCAGUCGUACGUGCACGGACCUAUUUCAGGCAGUUUAACAACCACACGAAUAAAGGCGCUUAAUACAAGAUGCGCUCAAGUUUUAUGGUCUCUAAGAGCAUUUUUGAUUGGUUAUUAACCUAUUGGAGGCGGCUCCUGCUUAGAACCCUCGGAGAGCAUUGGAGCACAGGGACGUCCGUCCCUCCAGGCGCCCGUUGUUCGUGAGUUCUUCAUAUCACGAUGUGUGCAAGAUGAGUUGAGUUCUAUGUAUGGAAUGUUAUUGUUAAUAUGGGGAACAGGUGGUUCCUGUUGAACUGCAUUUGACCCAGAUAGUGCUGCAUCUUUUUGCAUGUUCGCGUGCAGGUGUUGUGACUUGAGAUACAUGUUGUUUGUGCAAUCCGGCCUUUUUUUCUUUUAAUUUUUACCGUCAAAUCUUUUUAAUCCGCUACUUUAAUUAGCAACGUGAAUCUGAGAUUUUCUAAACUAUGAAUCCCAGCGAUUGUCACACGGUCGUGUGCGCUUGUGGAAUGCUAACGAACUGCUAAUGAGUUCGCGCCGCAGACAAAGAGAAACUCAGACGUGAUUUUGCUGCAUUUUGUCUUUGCAGUUUGCAGCGAGUGAAACAGAUGAUAAAGAGAAAAGGCCGUUCGUCCCUCUGACCUCAUCGCUGCCUUUACGUUCAGCGUCCACGCGCACGCUCGAGCAGAAGCACCCACACACGUGCACGCACAUGGCCGUGGAAUGACGGGGGGGGGCGGGGCUUCUGUAAUGACACGGUCACAUCUCGGUAAUUACAGGAGAAACUGACAGUGAUCCAUCAGCCCGCUGAGGUGCACGCCACGAGCGGCGCGUUCACGCACCCGGUUAUUAUGCAUGAACAUGUAUGGAAGCCGCGCUCGUGGUUUGUAACGUAGAAGAUACUGCCACCGAGGAACCUCCCUCGGGAGUUUGUUCACGGAAAUAUUGUGGUAUUUUAACCAUAAAUGCAAAUAUAUUCCGUCAGGUGAGGAUGUUUUCUUGUUAAAGCCUCAGCGGCCCACGAUUGAUCGUAACUGUGAAGUAAUUAGCUGCAUUUCAUGUACAUCUAACGCUUAUUUGCAUAAUGCCCUCUGGUAGGAUACAUGUGUACGCACAUGUUAUUGCAUUCUUGCUACACGAGAUCCAUUCUGAUACAUAAAAAGUAAAAACAUACCUGUACGAUUCAAUAGGAAUAAAAUACCAACAAUGGAGACAAAGACAAACAUACAAGGACACGUGUUGCACAUGCAUAUAAGGUCACACAAAAGAUAGCUCGAAAACACCCCGUGAUUCCACACACACACACACACACACUCACUCAAUACACGCAUUUGGAAGAGAUAUUUCAACACAACACGAGGUCACGGCAUCGCCGAUAAGAUCUCUCCUCCUGGCACGGCCCCAGACGGCCUCCUGUUCGCGCUCCGGGACCUCGACCGAGCUUUUGUGCCGUGUGAGUCUCUGUGGCACCCUCUCUCAUACACACACACACAGACACACACACACACACACAGCGUGCAGCGGCCCAGCCAGUUACUCCUCCCAGAGGAGCGGCUGAUGAGGCUCUGGAUUGAGGAGUGAAACGGACGCCGUGUUGGAGGGUUACGAUGAUUACCGUCAUUACCAGGAGAACCACGCCGCCGGCGUCCAGCUGCACCGGGAACACGAAAGCGCGGGUGAACCAGCGACGUAUUGGGACGGGAAACAAGGUCGAUGGCGUGGACGAGCCUCAAUGUUUCUCUCAUUAAAUGGAAAGCUGUUCAAGUCACGUGGUUCAAGAGAAGUAACGCUUCCAGGUAUUAUGUCACCGUCCACCUGGAAUAACUGUCCCACCGAAAAAAUAAAAUAUAACAUAACAGAAGUGCUCGUAGUGUAUUUAACAGUUUAAGAUGUAACUUACAUAGGACUUAAUAUGUUUUAUUUAUAAAAUUGUAUAAAAGCUUUUCAGUGGGACGUAAAGUUGUCGCUUCGAGGUUUGAUCUUCUUACAGCAUCCAGAUCAGGUUUACCAGUGAACAUCACACCACUCACAUUUAUAGGGGCAGCUGUUUGAAAUCUCUCUCUCUCUCUCUCUCUGUGUGUCUCUCACUGUCUCUCUCUCAUUUGCUGGAAGCUCUCGCUUGGCAGCGAGCGGCUACGUGAUGGGAGGCUUAAGUGCGUGUCCCAAAAUCUGACACCAGCCAGGAUGAUACUUUGUCAUGUGACAGAAGAGCUGCUGCUCGUCACGAGGGAAACGCCGUCCGACCCCGUCUCUGCUGGUGGGGGGGGGCGACUACCCUAAGAUCUGCCAUUCAAUGACCUGCUUUAACAAACUAUUAACAGACUGUUUACAGGAGUUACACCGAACGAAAAUAACCGGCGGUCAGAUCAACACUAAACCUUCAAACUAAAGCCGCUUUCAAAACAUUUGGAAUCAUUUCAGGAAGAUUUCUAUACGCAGAGACACUACUUUCCUAAUGAAGGGACGGAAAAGGAUCCUGGUCCGAAGGUCCCGGAGCGCGUGACCACUGACCCACAACGGCGGUCAGGGGGCUGUUACUCAUUUGGGGAGGGAGUGUGUGUGUCAUUGCAUCAGAGAUAAGAGAUGUGGUGAGACACGACGGGGUUUGUGCACCGUGUCUUUGCAAUGCAGAAAAGUGGGAACCACGAAACGUUGUGUGUGUGUGUCUGUGUGUGUGUGUGUGUGUGUGUGUGUGUGUGUGUGAUUAUCAUGCUUGAAGGGAGAGUGUGAGGUCCGUUUGCGUGUGUUCGGGUCGGACAGAUAAGAUAUUAUCAAAGUCCUUUUCAAACAGGCUUCGACCGCCCCCCCCGAGACGCCAACACCGAAAUUACAGCACGGCGGCUAUCAGGGGUUCAAAGGUCGGCCCCCCCGAGCGGCGAGGUUGACUUCUGGCGACCCCGAGCGAGUCACGACCACCGCCGUUUGUUUGCUGCACAUUCCAGCCGAGCGUUCACUCGUUCAUCCACUUUCCUUUAAUGUUUACGGGAGAAAAAAACGACGUCUGCGUUCCAUCCGUUAAAAUAAUGAACGUUUCCGUGUUUCAGAUCGUCACACGCGGCAGCAAAAGCAGGGACGCUGUUUAAAAUGUCUGUAAUUACUUUGCUUUUACUGGAAUUUCAAUUAUUUCGCCUCGGAGAGGAUUUAUGCACUUUAUGCAUUUAUUUUUAAAUGAAUAGUUUUUAAUUAUCCAGAGACAGGACUAUUUGUUGCACGCCAGUUGUUGGAAAAAAACUGCAAUAAUGUUCCGCCUCAGAACGGCAGAGUCUCCUUCACACGGUGUUCUGGGUCAUCUGAUAAUCAAGAUGUUUGUGCGCCGAUGUUCAUAAACUUGUGGUGCCAAAGAUGAUCGUCUACAUUCGAGGUCGGCUGCCCCCCCCCCCCCCCCCGUUUCACCAUGUUAUCUUAUAUAUUAACUAUAUAUUCCUACUCCGAAGAUGAAAACCUUUCAGUCGGCUUGCAUGACUCCUGUUUUGAUGAUUUUACACCGGUGUUGAUAUAAAAGUAUAAUAAUACGUUAAAUUUAAUUAUAUAGUAAUCUAUCAAUUUACGGUAGAGAACAUUAAAAAGGGAUUUAUAUAAAUAUAUAUGUAUAUACAUAUAUAUUUAACAAGUCUAUCCACCAAAACGAUGAAAUGAGGGUUAAAUCUCAUUUUUAAUUUUUAUCAGAUGGAUUUGGCAAAAACAAUUAUUUCCACAUCUGUAACAAACAAACCGGCUGCUUGCAAAGUAUUCAGCCUUUCAUAUCUGGAAACUGGCUUCUGAGCACUCAUUUGUUCUCUCGUGCUAAACCGCGGCAACAACACAAAGCAGAGAUAAAAGAUUGCGUGUAAGCUGCUCACAUGGCAGCCGCCGCAUUAAGAUAAUCCGUGGAUGUUUGUUUCCAUUUGCGGGUGAAAGCAGCGUGAGUCGAAAAACAAAUGAGCAAAAAGAACCGGCGAGAUGACGAGGGUGAUAUUUCUAAUGCGUGAACUCACUCUCCGGCCUUUUGGUGCUUUGUAAAUCCCGCGUGGAAGUAAAGUUUAAUGCGGUGAAAAGCUGCACUUUACUCUGGUUUCAAGCGAGCGACGCCCCCGCGCUGCCAAAUGAACACAACACGAGACCACGAGACGAGUUCUACGCGGUAAAAACGCUCCGCUGAAAUCUCCACUCUGCUCGGGAAUCCAUACGUACAGCAAACCCGUCGACGGCCAUCUUGGAAAAACCCCCCGUUGCCAAAUCAGGCCGCUUUCCUCCCGUGACCAAACCCACCGUCACCGCAUUCACGUGACGCAAAAAUCAACGCCCCCGACGGAGAGCGGCCCGCAGUCCCCGAAGCACGGAAUCAACUCCCCCGGCCGCCUCGCCUGGGUUUUGCUCCUCGCCGUCGUGCGCCGUGUCACGGAGCGGCGGUUUGGAGUCUGAGCGCGGAGGAAUGGAAAGGACGCUGUGGAGGAAGGGGGGGGGGGGGUUCCUAUCUGAAGGACUCUGCUGGUUACCGAACCAUGAAGGAACCGAUUUGUCCUCCUCCCUGAGACGGGCUCAGCUGGCCGGUGAAAAUGAUCCAUCGCAACUGGUCGUCCAACUUGCUGUAGUUAAUAAUUUGUCUUAAAAUGAAACAGCAGCCAGCAGCGUGUGGAGAUCAACACAUCGCUGCUGAAGACCAUUCCAACCCGAUUCCACAGAGGUGUUGAGUUGGAUUAGAAGUAGAACACGGCAUGGAUCCCUCCACAGCUUCAGCUCGCCUUGAGAUUGCUUGGCGGUGGAGAGAGGAGCCACGUGCGGGUGCUGGGGAGGUGGAGGGGAAGGUGAUGGGGGCCGGACUAAGAGCACCAUCCAUCGUCGGACGCCUUGGUCUGAAAAGAAUGAAAGUACAACCAUCAUCAAACACAGACGAGCUACGAAAACGCACUGAUUUUAACCAGAUGAUCAUUAAAAAUGACGCGUUUGGUCUCGAGGAAAAGUAUUGGACACGUUUACAUUUUUACUGGAUUGUGGGAGAUAAAAGGUUAAGGGACGAGUCCUUAAAAAAACUAGAAAUAUGCUCUUGAGAAACUAGAGAAAGAAAGAUGUACGGAAUUGACCGGCGUCCUUAACGGCUGUUGAGAUAUUUUAGUCUGGAACAAAGUGGUGGACGGAUCAAUUGAUCAACAUUUCCAUCCCGGAAACCAUUAGUGUGGCAAAAAAAUGGAGAAAAAAAAAGAAACAACCUCUUACUUGUGAUCGAAAUUGCAAAAGCAAAAAAAAAAACAAUCACAUCAAAACAGAAUCAGGCUCCUUUGGUUUGCAGUGUUUCAGGGUCGAACCUCCCGAAUAAAGACGCACGUCAUCCACCUGGAUGAGGCCUGCUGGUGGGGGCGGAGGAGGGCGGAGGAGGGGGGGGGGGAGUAGCUGGUCCGUCAGCAGACACACUGUCACUCCAUCACAUUGAUUAUUUGCUCAAACCAGACUAUUGUUUACAGGCCAAUCAAUAGGUUGGGCAAAUUCCAAUCACAACUAAAACACACACACACACUCACACACACACACACACACACACACACACACACACACACACACACACACACACACACACACACACACACACACACACACAGCGGAAUGAAAGCAGCCAUCUAUUCUGUUCAGUUGGGGAGUUUAGGCUGCCUGCGAAUGCGUAUGAAUCUGGACGCCAAAGCACCGGGUCCUAAAGAGGUCAGCUGGCGCGCGGGGGCGGGACUUCUGUGCAGCGUCGGCUCGGCCCACUUCCUGCACCCGCGUUUAAAGCCACAAAGGUCACAAUUCAUGUCAGCGGCAAAACUUUUUCAACGGGUGGAGCAAUGAGGCGAGGAGAAGGCAGGGGGAAGGCGAGGAGAUGGCGAGGAGAUGGCGAGGGGAAGGCGAGGGUAAGGCGAGGGGAUGGCGAGGAGAUGGCGAGGAGAUGGCGAGGGGAAGGAGAGGAGAAGGCGAGGGGAAGGGAGGCGAAGGAGAGGAGAUGGCGAGGAGAUGGCGAGGGGAAGGCGAGGGGAAGGCGAGGGGAUGGCGAGGAGAUGGCGAGGGGAAGGCGAGGAGAUGGCGAGGGGAAUGUGGGCGGACGGAUGGACACGCAGUCCAGUUCUAACAAUCGGCGUCUGCGUUUCAGCCUCGGCGACGGCCUCUCUCUCAGCAUUGAGACGUGACCCGGAUCUUCACACGCGUGACACGCGUGUCUGGACCCAAAGGGCGGCGUGGACACGUGCGUCUCAUGAUAUUUAUCUGGCUUAUUCCCCGAAAUCUCUCUCUCUCGUUUGAGUCGUGCAAUUAUGGAACAACACCCGAUAAUUACUGAGCGAAUAAACUCCUCUGUGUUCCAAUCUGGGCAGAACCGCCAUCGUGCAUCUUUCAAAUAGAAUUAACUGCCCGCGGCUAUCGAGCCGGAUUCUAUUACUCCCUCUGGAGGUAUUAAAACUUUAUCAUCUGAUGUCUUUUAUGACUAUUGCAGCAGUUAUUAAUUAUCGUUUGCGGUUUGACUUGUGAACGGCGAGCACUUUAAGGCUUUUUAAAUAAAUAAGGGAUUCGUUAGUUUCAUUGCUGCGUCUUCAAGGCUUUUCAUUGCAUUUCAAUACAAACGUGUACAAAAAUAAGC